ACAGUAGGCUGCUGGUUAAUAAUUCCUCCUAUUAGCUUUUCUGUUUCAGAGCAGCUCAUGAUUUUCCUCUCCUGCUCUGUCCUGCCCUGCUACAGGCAUCUGAGUUCCCCUGAGAGCAGAAGUGGACCUUGCCAUAGGGCCUGAGCCAAGGUGAGGCAGCCAGGCACCUAACUUGGAAGGCUGGAUAUCAAGUGCAAGAUGAUAUUAAACACCAGCGAAUGAUGGCUGCCCAUAUUUGGAAACUGCUUUCCCGUGAUUUUUAAGAGUGCCCAACACUCCGACCAUCACGUAUUCGAAGGAACUUUCUGAUCUGAAGGUGCCAGUGUGAGUGUGUCGCGUGUUCUGGAUGAACCCAGCUCCACAAGGCUUCUGUGCACAGAUCUGGAAGUUUCUCCGGGCGUUUUCAUAACCACCACUAAUAGGCUGCAAAUGAAGACAAAUUGCCGCGGUGCCGAUGGCAAGCUGCAACCAAAGCGAACCCUGCCGCAGACAACAACUAACUUAAAAAUCCAGCGGAUGGAAGAUUAAACAGUGAAAUCUGAGCGAUACUGCUUGUUCCCCUAUGAUUCAUGCCUGGCAGACACUAUGAGUCAGAAGCAUGUUCAAGGCCCAGCAGCAGCUGCAAUGGCCUCUCCUCUGGAUACAUGGUCUCACUUCCCUGCUCAGACCUGAUGAAUCUGAGUGCACACAGCUGGACCAAAGUAGAGAAGAGGACACAGCAAGUGAGAGAACAGAAUUUGACUCCUCUGAUCUUCUUUGUAUCCUUGGUGGUGGGCAUCAAAGGGAUUCUUUUCUGCCUAAGUCCUGGAUGGCUUUUCACUGUUCCCUAAUUCUGGUCACAUCUGCAGACCAUCUCUCGUCCCGCCCUCCCCACCACCACCACCCCGGCUGGCUGUCAAGUCUGAAAUCAGAUCCUGUGUCCAACCUGAGAAGGGACCUGCCACUCUUCUCCUCUCUUACAUUACUUCAAAAGCAAGAUUCCGGGCAGCCUUGUGGAUGUUUGCUAUGGCUGCUGUCUUUGUUUCUUUUUUCAUUUUCAAAGUGGCCAUCAGCUAUUUCAAAGUAGCCAGGCAACUGGGUUGACUGCAUUCGAGUCACAAAACCGGGAACUAGCCUAUGACAUUUUUAUCUCAUGUGACUUCCCAGCGUGGCCCAGCUGGGUGAGCAGAAGGCUGUGGGCAGAACUCUGCUCCAUCCCCAGGUGACUGUGUGUGCUGUAAGAUCACAGAUAAUGGUGCUAUGUAUGGAGAGUGGGGGUCCAGAGCUCACAAACAUCAUUCAGCUCCAGGGGGCACCACGGCCUACCUGUCUAUUCUGAGGGAACAAGAAGCUGUAGAUUAGGAACCGAAGCCAAAUUUUCAAAGAAGGGGAUACAACCAACACAGCACCCUGGAGGUCUGGGAGCUAAAAUAGGAAUGUGUCUUCUGCUUAUCUCAGAAAUACUUCAUAUGCAUUUUCUGAACUUGAGAAGCCAAGCUGAAUUUGAUUAGGCACACGUCUACACAUCACACAAGCCCACCCCUACUACAGAAGAGCGUGGAAACUGGGGGAAAAAUGCCACACACUUCAUGGUGUGAAUCAGCGUCUUUCCAAAUGACGCUUCCUCUGAAAAGCCACGAAUCUGG